rnacentral:rRNA from 1 species
AUGGACAUAUACAGAGGGUUUACAACUUGCAUUCCUAGAGCUGGCGACACAAUUCUUCUAUGGAAAGAUAUUUCGAUCGAUGACGAACCCCUUUCCAACAAGCUGCCACACAUGUUCACUUCCACAAGGGAGGAGGAUAUUUCUAUAGUGCAAUUCCAAGACAGACCACAAGCUUCUAAAAACUUUUACCUCACUCUAUCAAUCGAGGCGCUACAUGAAUUAACAUAUCUGCAGAAUCAUAUGAAUGAUCUCUACUUGGAACCAAUGAUGGCUGAUGAAUGGAUUACUUGUUGGGGAGAUGUUCAGUUUCGGCCCAAGAAAUUCACCAACUUCUUCUUCAGAGAACUGCAGCCACCCGCAUACAUCACAAUGAUCUGGAAGACAAAGUGUAUCGUGAAACUUAAAGUGUUCACCUGGCUGAUGUUAAUGGACAGAGUCAACAUAAGGGACAUGCUCCACCGGAGACAUUUUGAUAUUGGAGUCACUCCUGUCUUUUGUGCAACACCACACCACUGA